rnacentral:tRNA from 1 species
UCCCUAGUGGUCUAGUGGUUAAGACUCUGCAUUUCCAUUGCAGGGGGCAGGGGUUUGAUCCCUGGUCAGGGAA